UUUCCGUAGGUGAACCUGCGGAAGGAUCAUUACAGAGUUCAUGCCCUCACGGGUAGAUCUCCCACCCUUGAAUAUUUAUACCUUAGUUGCUUUGGCAGGCCGUGGAAACACCAUGGGCUCCGGCUUAUCCGUGCCUGCCAGAGGAAACAAACUCUGUUUUUAGUGAUGUCUGAGUACUAUAUAAUAGUUAAAACUUUCAACAACGGAUCUCUUGGUUCUG
rnacentral:misc_RNA from 1 species